rnacentral:lncRNA from 1 species
AAAGAAGUGAUUGCUAUUCAGUAGGACUAAGAAGUUGUGAGUAGUAAGGAUCUAGCUCAAUGUUUUCAAAAUACAAAGUAUUAAAGGUUGUACUGGACUGAACUUCAAAAUGCACACUGAAGAUCCUUGCCUAUCCAGAGGUUUUCAUCAUGUUACCAAUUGUGUCCAACAGGCAAUCUUUGUGCUCUUCCUGAAUCAAAAUUAUGGGUGUGUGAGAAGCUCUUUAAACGCUGGUCUUGGCCGUCAGUGUUCAUUUCCCACAGUGCCUGACAACAGCCAGUAUUUACACUAUGCAGUCAGACACAGCAGCAAGUGAUAUUGUCUGGUAUUUGGG